rnacentral:rRNA from 1 species
AUUGAACGCUGGCGGCAGGCCUAACACAUGCAAGUCGAACGAGUGGCGGACGGGUGAGUAAUGACUGGGAAACUGCCCGAUGGAGGGGGAUAAAUACUGGAAACGGUAGCUAAUACCGCAUACCAUCGGAUGUGCCCAGAUGGGAUUAGCUAGUCGGUGGGGUAAAGGCUCACCUAGGCGACGAUCCCUAGCUGGUCGGAGCGGAUGACCAGCCACCCUGGAACUGAGACACGGUCCAUACUCCUACGGGAGGCAGCAGUGGGGAAGAUUGCGCAAUGGUCGCAAGCCUGAUGCAGCCGUGCCGCGUGUAUGAAGAAGGCCUUCGGGUUGUAAAGUACUUUCAGCGGUGAGGCGGUACCCGCAGAAGAAGCACCGGCUAACUCCGUGCCAGCAGCCGCGGUAAUAC